ACAUGCCUACAACAUGGUGUUAAUGCACUAGAUCCCAUUAGAACUCCGCAGUUAAGUGCGCUUAGGCUAGAGUAGUACUGGGAUGGGUGAUCGCCUAGGAAGUCCUAGUGUUUUACAUGCC
rnacentral:rRNA from 1 species